rnacentral:lncRNA from 1 species
AGGGUUUUUCUGUUAGUUACCAGAACAUCCUUAUCAUUUAGAAUAAUUUAUACUUUUGCAAACAGUAAAUUUAUAAAAUUAAUAAACAAAAGCUGUACAUGAUAGAACUGAAAUAUUAACUAAUUACAGGAAACAACUGAAAUACAUUACAUAACCAGACAUUUGCAACACAAUAUGUAGACACAUCCGAAUAUGUUUAAACCUCAACGCCAAGUGACGUCAUAUUUGAAAUUGUAAAAAAUGAC